CCUACGGGAGGCAGCAGUGGGGAAUCUUGCGCAAUGGGCGAAAGCCUGACGCAGCCAUGCCGCGUGAAUGAUGAAGGUCUUAGGAUUGUAAAAUUCUUUCACCGGGGACGAUAAUGACGGUACCCGGAGAAGAAGCCCCGGCUAACUUCGUGCCAGCAGCCGCGGUAAUACGAAGGGGGCUAGCGUUGCUCGGAAUUACUGGGCGUAAAGGGAGCGUAGGCGGAUAGUUUAGUCAGAGGUGAAAGCCCAGGGCUCAACCUUGGAAUUGCCUUUGAUACUGGCUAUCUUGAGUGUGGGAGAGGUAUGUGGAACUCCGAGUGUAGAGGUGAAAUUCGUAGAUAUUCGGAAGAACACCAGUGGCGAAGGCGACAUACUGGCCCAUUACUGACGCUGAGGCUCGAAAGCGUGGGGAGCAAACAGGAUUAGAUACCCUGGUAGUCCACGCUGUAAACGAUGAGUGCUAGUUGUCGGCAUGCAUGCAUGUCGGUGACGCAGCUAACGCAUUAAGCACUCCGCCUGGGGAGUACGGUCGCAAGAUUAAAACUCAAAUGAAAUUGACGGCUGAGACGNGCGAGACGACACGAGGGAGGAGG
rnacentral:rRNA from 1 species